rnacentral:rRNA from 1 species
UACGUAGGGUGCAAGCGUUGUCCGGAAUUAUUGGGCGUAAAGAGCUCGUAGGCGGUUUGUUGCGUCGGCUGUGAAAUCCCGAGGCUCAACCUCGGGUCUGCAGUCGAUACGAGCAAACUAGAGUGUUGCAGGGGAGACUGGAAUUCCUGGUGUAGCGGUGAAAUGCGUAGAGAUCGGGAAGAACAUCGGUGGCGAAGGCGCUCUACUGGACCACAACUGACACUCAGGGACGAAAGCUAGGGGAGCGAAUGGG